rnacentral:snRNA from 1 species
AUAUAUACUUACUAGAUUUUAAUC